UAGGGAAUCUUCCGCAAUGGGCGAAAGCCUGACGGAGCAACGCCGCGUGAGUGAUGAAGGUCUUCGGAUCGUAAAACUCUGUUAUUAGGGAAGAACAAAUGUGUAAGUAACUAUGCACGUCUUGACGGUACCUAAUCAGAAAGCCACGGCUAACUACGUGCCAGCAGCCGCGGUAAUACGUAGGUGGCAAGCGUUAUCCGGAAUUAUUGGGCGUAAAGCGCGCGUAGGCGGUUUUUUAAGUCUGAUGUGAAAGCCCACGGCUCAACCGUGGAGGGUCAUUGGAAACUGGAAAACUUGAGUGCAGAAGAGGAAAGUGGAAUUCCAUGUGUAGCGGUGAAAUGCGUAGAUAUUAGGAAGAACACCAGUGGCGAAGGCGACUUUCUGGACGAACACUGACGCUGAGGCGCGAAAGCCAGGGGAGCGAACGGG
rnacentral:rRNA from 1 species